CCUACGGGAGGCAGCAGUGGGGAAUAUUGCACAAUGGAGGGAACUCUGAUGCAGCGACGCCGCGUGAGUGAAGAAGUAUUUCGGUAUGUAAAGUUCUAUCAGCAGGGAAGAAAGUGACGGUACCUGCAAAAGAAGCUCCGGCGAAAUACGGGCCAGCAGCCGCGGUAAUACGUAGGGAGCAAGAGUUAUCCGGCUUUACUGGGUGUAAAGGGAGCGCAGGCGGCGCGUUAAGCCUGGUGUGAAAGCCCUCGUCCAAACCGCGGGACUGCAUUGGGAACUGGCGAGCUGGAGUGCAGGAGGGGUAAGCGGAAUUCCUAGUGUAGCGGUGAAAUGCGUAGAUAUUAGGAAGAACACCAGUGGCGAAGGCGGCCUACUGGACGGUGACUGACGCUGAGGCUCGAAAGCGUGGGGAGCAAACAGGAUUAGAUACCCUUGUAGUC
rnacentral:rRNA from 1 species